AAAAAACAAACAAGGCUGCGCACGGUGGAUCACGCUUGUAAUCCCAGCACUUUGGGAGGCUGAGGCGGACAGAUCGCCUGAGCUCAGGAGUUCAAGACCAUCCUGGCCAACAUAGUAAAACCCUGUCUCUACUAAAAUACAAAAAAUUAGCUGGGCAUGUUCGUGUGCGCCUGUAGUCCCAGCUACUUGGGAGGCUGAGGCAUGAGAAUUGCUUGAGCCCGGGAGGUGGAGGUUGCAGUGAGCCAAGAUCGCACCACUGCACUCCACCUUGGGCUACAGAGUGAGAUUCUGUGUCAAAAAAAAACAAAAACAAAAACAAAAACAAAAAAACAAAAAAAAAGAACCAAGUAUCUAGCAGGUUAUCAUUUGACACCUUUCUUUUGUUUUAUCAAAUAAAUAAAUAAAUAAAGACCAGGGCGUGAAUU
rnacentral:lncRNA from 10 species